rnacentral:tRNA from 1 species
GGGCCUGUAGCUCAGUUUGGUUAGAGCACUCGACUCAUAAUCGAAUGGUCGUAGGUUCAAGUCCUACCAGGCCCA